GCCCCACCUUAUUUGGAACUCUUUUGCAUUUAAAUUUUUUUUAUUUGAAUUUAAUUCAAAAUAGAAUGGAAAUUCAUUUGUUUGAGGCAUGGAAGAAUUUUUUAUGUAAUAAAAAAAUUAGAGAAAGAAGGGCAUGCACUAAAGAAUUGGCGUGAGAAGAUUUCACAUGUUUUUCUUCUUGGUGAAAAUUUUUUCUUUCCUCUUUUUCAUUCCAUUCUUACCUAUUUAGAUAAGAUUUGAUCUUAUCUCUUAAUGGGGCAUGAGAAUUUUCUUUUGUUGCAACAAAAAUUUAAGAAAAAAGGGGUGGCGUGCGUGAUGCGCGAGUAGGCUUCUUUCUUACAUCUUUCUCUCCUCCCCAACACCUCCCUUCAUUCUCCCCUUCAUAUCUCCAUGCCAAGAUCUGAUAGAGGUCAGAUCUAAGAAGAGAAA
rnacentral:lncRNA from 1 species